CUUUCCCUCUUCGAAUCAAUUGUGAAAUCUGUGUUGCUUUUUGGCUGCGAAACGUGGAGAGUGACUAAGGGCCUAACGAAUAAGCUUCAAGUCUUCGUCAACAAGUCCCUCAGGUCGAUCCUUCGCGUUUUCUGGCCAAAAACUAUGCGCAACGAAGACCUGUGGCGUAUAUGCCGGCAAACACCCAUCGGCCAAGAAAUCGCGACACGGAAAUGGAGAUGGGUAGGACGGGACAUACUAUUCGAAGAGGGGAAACAAACAACGCAACCAUCGCUUUCGGUUGGAAACCGCCGGACGGAAGCCGUGGCCUCGGGCGCCCUGUACACUCUUGGCAGCGGUCCGUCACAAAUGAGCUACGAGCGGUCGGGUUGAGCUGGAGCGAGGCCAGAGCGGUCGCUGAAGAUAGGAAGGCGUGGCGCGAGCUUGUGAAGGCCCUUUGAACCUCUGGGGUGCCUUAGGACAACAACA